rnacentral:rRNA from 1 species
AAUUCCAGCUCCAAUAGCGUAUAUUAAAGUUGUUGCAGUUAAAAAGCUCGUAGUUGGAUUUCUGGUGUCCCCCAAGGUCCCAACUUGGGUGCUAUUGGGGGCUGCCAUCCGUGGGUGGAACCUGUGUGGCAUUAGGUUGUCGUGCAGGGGAUGCCCACCGUUUACUGUGAAAAAAUCAGCGCGUUCAAAGCAGGCUUAUGCCGUUGAAUGUAUUAGCAUGGAAUAAUAAGAUAGGACCUGGGUACUAUUUUGUUGGUUUGCGCACCGAGGUAAUGAUUAAGAGGGACAGUUGGGGGUCUUCGUAUUCCAUUGUCAGAGGUGAAAUUCUUGGAUUUCUGGAAGACGAACUACUGCGAAAGCAUUGACCAAGGAUGUUUUCAUUAAUCAAGAACGAAAGUAAGGGGAUCGAAGAUGAUUAGAUACCAUCGUAGUCUUA